rnacentral:rRNA from 1 species
GAUGGUUUGGCACCUCGAUGUCGGCUCGUCGCAUCCUGGGGCUGGAGUCGGUCCCAAGGGUUGGGCUGUUCGCCCAUUAAAGCGGUACGCGAGCUGGGUUUAGAACGUCGUGAGACAGUUCGGUCCCUAUCCGCUGUGCGCGUAGGAGUCUUGAGAAGGGCUGUCCCUAGUACGAGAGGACCGGGACGGACGAACCUCUGGUGUGCCAGUUGUUCUGCCAAGGGCAUGGCUGGUUGGCUACGUUCGGGAGGGAUAACCGCUGAAAGCAUCUAAGCGGGAAGCCUGCUUCGAGAUGAGGACUCCCACCCCCUUGAGGGGUUAAGGCUCCCAGUAGACGACUGGGUUGAUAGGCCGGAUCUGGAAGCACCGUGAGGUGUGGAGGUGACCGGUACUAAUAGGCCGAGGGCUUGUCCUCAGUUG